CGCCAGACUCCUACGGGAGGCAGCAGUGAGGAAUAUUGGUCAAUGGGCUUACGCCUGAACCAGCCGAGUCGCGUGAGGGAAGACUGCCCUAUGGGUUGUAAACCUCUUUUGUCAGGGAGCAAUUGGCGCUACGUGUAGCGUUAUCGAGAGUACCUGAAGAAAAAGCAUCGGCUAACUCCGUGCCAGCAGCCGCGGUAAUACGGGGGAUGCAAGCGUUAUCCGGAUUUAUUGGGUUUAAAGGGUGCGUAGGCUGUGAGGUAAGUCAGCGGUGAAAUGCCCCCGCUCAACGGGGUGAAGUGCCAUUGAUACUGCCUUGCUGGAAUGCGGAUGCCGUGGGAAGAAUGUGUGGUGUAGCGGUGAAAUGCAUAGAUAUCACACAGAACACCGAUUGCGAAGGCAUCUCACGAAGC
rnacentral:rRNA from 1 species